rnacentral:tRNA from 1 species
CAGAGUAUAGCUUAAGUCAAAGCACUCCGCUUACACCGAGUAGACGUCCGUUAAACCCAGACUAUUCUGAG